rnacentral:rRNA from 1 species
AUGUCAGUGCUCCAUGGGAUAUGCAGGAUUAUGAAGUCAUCAAAACAUAGUAGCCAGAGUUUCCCCAACUUGGUGGCCAUCAACGCGAUGUACGAUGAUGAGUUCAGGAACCAGCCAGUGCAGCCAGAUUGUGGAAAGUUCAAAUGUAUCGCCGAAUUUCUUGAGAAGGAGGCGGUUCUUCUCUUUGAGAAGGAAGGGGCAGAGUUUCUGGAGGGGAUACGCGGAGUCUUCAAGUUUGAAAUAAUACGUACAAAUGUAGGGGACAAGUUUGCUUGGUUCAGAGACGAGGAGUUCGCGUGUGAAACCCGUGCCGGGGUGAACCCACUGAGCAUCCAACUAGUUAGGGAGUUGCCUCUGGUGAGCAAGCUGGACGAGAAAAUCUACGGCCCGGCGGACUCCUUGAUAACUAAAGAGUUGAUUCAAGAGCAGAUCAACGGUGUCAUGACAGCUGAGGAGGCCAUGGCUAAGAAGAAACUGUUCAUGCUGGACUACCACGACUUGUACCUUCCAUUUGUCAACAAAGUGCGCCAGCUCGAGGGCACGACCUUGUACGGGGCACGUGCGCUCUUCUUCCUGGCUGGCGAUGGCACGCUCCGGCCGAUCGCCAUCGAGCUGACGAGACCCAAGUCUGCGAACAUGCCAGAGUGGCGUGAGGUCUUCAUGCCGGCGUCAGGACACGAAGCCAGCAUCACCGGGUCCUGGCAGUGGCAACUCGCCAAGGCCCAUGUCCUGUGUCUCGACACUGGCUACCAUCAGCUUGUCAGCCACUGGCUGAGGACACACUGCUGUGUCGAGCCGUACAUCAUCGCCGCGAACAGGCAGCUGAGCCAGAUGCACCCCAUCUACCGGCUGCUCCACCCAUCGUUCCGCUUCACCAUGGAGAUCAAUGCACAGGCACGCAAGUUGCUCAUCAACGCCGAUGGGAUCAUCGAGAGCACCUUCUCACCGGGGAAGUACUCCAUGGAGAUCAGCUCGGCGGCCUACGCCGAGCAGUGGCGGUUCGAUAAGGAGGCGCUGCCAGAGGACCUCAUCCGGAGGGGCAUGGCGGUCAGAGGAGAGGAUGGCAAGCUGGAGCUGGCAAUAGAGGAUUACCCAUACGCCAAUGAUGGCCUGCUGGUCUGGGAUGCCAUCAAGCAGUGGGCGUCCGACUACGUGGCAUACUACUACCCAUGCGCGGCGGACAUCACCGACGACGUGGAGCUCCAGGCUUGGUGGAAGGAGGUGCGCACCAAAGGCCAUGCGGACAAGCAGGAUGAGCUAUGGUGGCCGCACCUCGACUGCAACGAGAGCUUGGUCCAAACCCUAUCCACCAUCAUGUGGGUGGCGUCGGCGCAUCACGCCGCCGUGAACUUCAGUCAGUACCCAUUUGGUGGGUACGUCCCAAACCGCCCCUCCAUUGCCCGCAUAAACAUGCCAUCAGAUAUGGGCCCCGAUGGCAUGCGCGUGUUCAUGGAGGCGCCGGACAAGGUGCUGCUAGAUGCAUUCCCUUCCCAGUAUCAGAGUGCCAUGGUGAUGGCGAUACUGGACCUCCUCUCAUCGCACUCAUCGGGUGAGGAGUACUUGGCCAUGUACCAAGAGCCGGCGUGGCAACAGAAUGGCAAGAUCAACAAGGCGUUCGAGGACGAAUUCAGGGAGAGGAUGUUGAGGAUCGGGGUGCAGGUCAACAAGUGGAACAUGGACCCCGAGCGGAAAAACCGGUAUGGUCCUGGCAUGGUGCCGUAUGUGCAGCUAAGGCCAUCGGAUGGUGAUCCUAUGGGUGCCAAAACAGUGAUGGGAAUGGGCGUUCCAACCAGCAUCUCCAUUUGA